rnacentral:rRNA from 1 species
CCUACGGGUGGCAGCAGUGAGGAAUAUUGCACAAUGGGGGAAACCCUGAUGCAGCGACGCCGCGUGAGUGAAGAAGUAAUUCGUUACGUAAAGCUCUAUCAGCCGGGAAGAAAAUGGCGGUACCUGAGUCAGAAGCCCCGGCUAACUACGUGCCAGCAGCCGCGGUAAUACGUCGGGGGCAAGCGUUAUCCGGAUUUACUGGGGGUAAGGGGAGCGUAGACGGUGGGCCAAGUCUGGAGUGAAAUGCCGCAGCUUAACUGCGGAACUGCUUUGGAAACUGGCGAACUAGAGUGCGGGAGGGGUAAGCGGAAUUCGUAGUGUAGCGGUGAAAUGCGUAGAUAUUAGGAAGAACACCGGUGGCGAAGGCAGCUUACUGGACCGUAACUGACGUUGAGGCUCGAAAGCGUGGGUAGCAAACAGGAUUAGAUACCCCAGUAGUC